UACGUAGGGUGCGAGCGUUGUCCGGAAUUAUUGGGCGUAAAGAGCUCGUAGGCGGUGUGUCACGUCGGCCGUGAAAACCUGCAGCUUAACUGUGGGCGUGCGGUCGAUACGGGCAUCACUGGAGUUCGGCAGGGGAGACUGGAAUUCCUGGUGUAGCGGUGAAAUGCGCAGAUAUCAGGAGGAACACCGGUGGCGAAGGCGGGUCUCUGGGCCAAAACUGACGCUGAGGAGCGAAAGCCAGGGGAGCAAACGGG
rnacentral:rRNA from 1 species